GUUACUGAAGGAAGUAGCCUACGUCCACGCCUACAACUGAAGUCUCUUGACAAACACCUCACCCCUGCCUCCGGGAUGAAAGGGGGUAACCUAGACCUGAAUGGGCUUGACCAUCUCACAACUGCUCGCGUGACGACCGCAUUCGUGGCAGGUAAGAAGAUUGCUGUAUCAACUCAAGAAAGCAGUAACUUCACUGUCUUUGUAUUUUGAAUUGCAACAACAACUUUGAUAUCAACAAUGAAGCAAUGAUAUCUAAGAACAAAAGAGUAUUUGCCAACAGUCAUCAUAAUAUCAAGUGAUUGUAUAAGCAGAAACAAGCUGUCACAGACCUGUGCGUCAGCUAAUAUAUGGAGAAUGCUUUCUUCUGAUACUAUUUACUUAGAGGCAGUUUUAAUAUAAAUCAUUUCAAUUAUAUCUACAUCAAAUAAAAUAAAAAUGAGUGAAGCCCCCAGAUUCUUCGUUGGACCAGAAGAUACAGAAAUAAAUCCUGGAAAUUAUCGACAUUUCUUCCACCAUGCAGAUGAAGACGAUGAGGAGGAAGAUGAUUCUGUAAGUUGUUUGUUUUUCCUUUGGCGAGAGAAGACCAAUACAGUAUAGGCUUUUUACUAAUCACUGUUAGUCUUUUUUUGUUGGAAAAUUUUUGAACUGAAAAAGUAUAUUUUGUUUCAUGACUGAUGUUGUUGAAUCUAUGAUGAAUCAAUAAAUACAGUUAUGG
rnacentral:lncRNA from 10 species